GGUGGUCAGCCUCCUGGAACACAUAUAGGGCAAAAUAUGGAUCUUAGUAGGGGCCAAAUGGAGACUAACCAGUACAGAGAACAAAUCAGAAACUCAUUCCAGUAAUCGGAAAAUAUAUUGGAAAGGAAGAUAAAUAAGGGGUAGAAAUUUAGGGUCUAAAGUUUCAUUAUCAGAGGAAGGUCCAAGUAAAAAGGGGCUGAUCUUCCUCGUAGAGCAUAAUGAGAGAAUUUAGUGAUUAUGAAAGGGUGACUGAGCCCUAGGUCAGUCUACUGUAGAGACUUGAUUUCAAGCCUUGCCCUUGUUGUGGAAUGGAUACCUGUUUACUCUUCUUGUUCCACAUCAUAAUUUGCCUGGGGACUGAGGUGUGGCUACUCCUGAAAGAUUUGGGACUCAGAAGGUCUGUUGGUCAGUAGCUCAGGACAGGGACAGAAAAAAGGACGCAUUGUUACUCAUCAAGGAAGAGACCAUUACCACAUCUGGUUGUCCUGAUUCUUUUUUUGUCCUCUCCAGAUUGGGAUUGGUUCCUGCUUAAGCUGGACUUGAAAACUCUCAAGAGAGUUUAGUCAAAUAAUUGACUAAGUGAAGUAAAGAAGGGUUGGCUCUACCAGUCUUCAUGCAGAGGUCAUUAUGUGGCCCAGGUGGUAAUUAAUCCCUGUCACCAACUGCUAUGAUAAAUACCUAAAUGAUACUGUGUCAAGGGGUUAAAAACAAUCUGGAUUACAGCAGAAAGCUCAAAUUGUGGCUGGCAACAAGAUGGCAAACAGAAGUAGCGCAGCACCAACUCCACAGAAGAAGAGGGCAAGUAACAACCUUCCUUAGUCAGCUGGGGCUAAGACAAGAGUGCUCGAUGCAAAGUUGGGAACCAGAGGAGGACUGGGCUGAGCAUUAAAACUCUUGGCUGAGCCUAAAGUGAUUUCAAAGCAGAACAAGGGUGGAACUGUUUAGUAGUGGAAAAGAAAGCUUGGUUUGAUGCCUAGAGAGAAUUACGUGAUGUUUAAAAAAGACCAUUAUUUAUUACAAAAUCAAGCAGGGCAAACAUAUCAGCAAGCUUGAGACAGUCUUUAUCUGAGAUUUUUAGAUCUACAAUUCAGGUGAGAGAAUAUUACCAAGUUCAACCUGCUUAUCAACCCUUUAUAUUCAAUCUGCAAUGAAAGAGAAAUGUAACAGACACAGAUCCCACCCCCUCCUACUUUGUGGACUUGAGCCUAAAUUUAACUUGAAUUCUGUUUAAAAGGAGCUUUUUAUUCAGCCUUCUAAAAAUGAGAGAUUUGCUUAUUAAUGGGAACUGUGCAUUUUAUUAAGAUGAUCUUUAUUUUGGACUAGUUGGAGAGUAAGGUGAGAGGGAAGUAGUUGGAAAAAGAGAUAUAAAAAGAAAAAAAAGCUGUCAAAAUUGUUAAAAAUACAAAGAUAACACAACAAACCCCAUAUCCAUCUGCCUGGGAAACACUUUUCUUUGCCUUAUUUUAUGUUGCUUUUGAAUUGGCUAUUCUCUGCCUAGGUGCUUGGACAGCUCCUCCUUCUAUCUUCCCCAGCCAGCUUUUGUGCUUCAAAAUGCUAGGCACAUUUUGGCUCCCCCACCUUCUAACACUGUCAUUACUCCCAGUGCCACCCCAGAUAGAUUUGUCGUAUGCAAAUCUGUACUUAUCACAUCAUAGUGACAUAACUUUGUGAUGCAAAGUCUUCUCCACUGUACUGUCAGCCAUUGAGGGAAUGAGCCAAUGAAACAAUAUGGAUUUAUACAGCCAGAACAAAUAGCUUCAAGGAUAGCAUAAAAGUAUCCUGGUACAUAUUUCAGUAUGACUGAGGCAUGAUGAGGGCAAAGAUACAGCUGGGCUUUUGGAAUAACUGCAAGUAGAAGGAAACCUAGCUAUAUCCAUGAUUCUAGUUAAGUUUUCAGUUGAGGUCCCCAUGCCAUAUACAUAAAUGGCUUUAGACUCCACACUUAAAUGGAGAGCAUAGGCUGGGAUCCUAAUUUCCUAUGGAGGAUUUUCUCCACCCAUGGUUCUGGCCAGCUUUCUUGCUGUUUCUCUGCGAAGGUGGAGUGUUUCUAAAUCCGGUUUCAGAGGUGGCUUGAUAUAAGUCUAAUUUAUAGAUUAUUUGUUCAAAGAUGGAUGUGGAGCGAAGAAAAGGAAGGAGUUGAGUCCAGAGGAUUCAAAUUUAAGCAUUUGGAAAAGUAAGUUACUAUUUAAUGAAAUUGAGUAAUUUGUAGAAGGAACAUAUGUGGGUAUGGAAAUUAAGAGCUUGGUUUGGAUAUGUGAAAUUUGAGGAAACUACUAAAUAUCUAAGAUGUUGAGUAAGAAUUGAGCCUGGUGAUAUGAUUUUGGGAGUUAUCAGCAUGAAGACAGUAAUUGAGCACAUAGCAUUAGACAAGAUCACCUAGGGAGUGAUUGUGGAUAGAAAAGAAAAGGUAGGGUUUCUGGUAUUGUAUAGAGCAUGGGCAGAUGGAGAGUGACCAGAAAUGGGGAGUAAGAAAGAGUGGCUACUGAGGCAGAAGGAGAACUAAGAAGGAACCAGUGGACUCUUUGAAGCUGUGAAGAAAAUGACAUAAAAAUUAGGGGACCAAUCAACUCAGUGUUCAAUUUUUCAGUUAGACUGAGUAAGAGGUAGAAUGAGAAUUGGAGUUAGUGACAGGAGGUCAGUGGUAACUUCCUUCUUCUAUCUUGGAUAAUAAAAUAGAGCACC